CAAAAAAUGAGUUUUCUCAUAACUCAUUCUGGGUGACUCCUCCCAAACAGCCCCAUGAUGAUACAUGUGCAAAUGUACUUAUUAUACUCCCUCUCUUAGGGUUCUAUUGCAGAUGCCGGCGGCACAAGUUCUGAAAAUUACCAUGUCUGGCAACGAGUCAUAUAAAGCGGUUAAAACAUCGAAAAAUCAAAGAUCCGACCGGUUUGGGACACCAAACUUCCACAAUCAUGAAGUUGGGAAAUGGAGGAAGUCAUCAACACAUGGAGUCAGUUGUUUUUCGCAAAAACAGUUUUUCAAAUCUAAGUUUAGACCUGUGGAUUCAUUAUAUCUACAGAUUAGAAAAGUGUCUUACCCUCUCCUCUUGAGUGACUGAGAUGACAGUGGGGAUGGCAGAGCUAUCUAAUAAAUUGGUUGCAUCACCACUAUCAAUACUUUAAGUACACAUUUGGUGCAGAUUGAUGGUAAACUUGUUAGAUGCGCUGAACAUAGAGAAAAUUCUCAGAGUUGUAUUGGCUAAAGAAGAAUUGAUACCUGAUGUUGAUCUUGAAGUAGUUGCUAAUAUGACUGAUGGUUAUUCAGGAAGUGACUUGAAGGUUGCUUACUAAUUUCGUUGUAAUCUGCAAUUUUUUGCCCCGUGUUUUCAAUCUUUUCAGCCUUGGUUUUAUGUAGUUCCUCUGAUUAACUUUUUGGUUGCAGAAUCUGUGUGACAGCAGCCCAUUGUCCCAUACGAGAAAUUUUGGAGAAAGAAAAGAAGGUGGUUACUGAGAAUGAAUUUGAGAAGAAGCAGCCUCCUCUGCUUCCUAUUGGACCUCCGCCACCUCCAGAUGAAGACAUGCCGCCUCUGCCUCCUCCGGAGGGGGGAGAUGUGGUUAAUGAGAAUGAAUUUGAGAAGAAGCAGCCUCCUCUGCUUCUUACUGGACCUCCGCCACCUCAAGAUGAAGACAUGCCGCCUCCUCUGCUUCCUUAUGUGUAAAACUCAUGAAUAUACAAAUCUCCCAACUCUCUCCUAAGCAUAUGCUAAUCCAAAACCAAAGAAGUAUAUUCUGA